rnacentral:lncRNA from 1 species
GUCUUCCCCGCGCGCCUUGGAUCUGGGGCAAUAGCUGAGAGGGCGUCACCAGCGUGUCGGCGCCUGCGGUUUUCUUCGGGCUGUCCCCAGGCGUCGUGCCCGCGUCCGUCACGCGCGGUGGCUUGCAGGGGCGCACCGCGACAGCCUUAAAGGAAAACCUGUUAGGGACAAGGGCUGCUGUGGGCAGCGAGGGUUAUAGACUCAUGUGUGUUCUGAAUUCUGGUGGGGGUAGUGAUGGACGCUGACCCAGUUCACAGAAUUAUCUGACUGGCGAAGUAAAGGUACUUGAAUUGCAGGAAAAAAGGUCAAGGUGAACUGAAGAAAAUAAGUCUUUCCCCAAAGGAGGUAGAAGAUGGGGAAGAUGAGAUGUCAGAAGCUAAGGACAAUGGCAGUAGAGAUGAGGUUCUUGUCCCUCAUAAGAAUUGCAGGAAGAAUACCACUGUCCCGGGAAAGAAAGGGGAGGAAAAGUCUCUGGCUCCUGUGUUUGCUGAGAAGUUAAUAUCACCAAGCAGGAGGGGAGCCAAGCUCAAGGACCGUGAGAGCCACCAGGAGAAUGAAGACAGGAACAAUCAAAAUGCCAAAACACUUUUGAUCAAGAACCUGCCUGACAAAGUCACUCCACAUGAAUUAAAAGAAGUGUUUGAGGAUGCUUUUCAAAUCAGAUUAGUGAGCAAAGAUGGGAUGAGUAAAAAGUAUGUUUUGCACCUCGUACUGAAUAAGAAUGUAUGUCUACUGGAUACAAACAUAAUGGAAUUUCCUUACAUUCUCUCAAAUCUUUUAUGCCUGAUUUUAGAGAAGGAAAGAGUAGUUAUCCAGAUUUCUGCCAGUAGGCAUAAAAAGCCAAAGGGGACAUCAUAAAGGGACAGCCAAAACUCCUAGAAAACUGUAGUGGUGCUAUAGAGAAAUAGAGACUUCAUCUGCUACCAAGUACAAGAUUGAAGAUUGGAAUUUAUUCAUAGAUUAUGUACAUUCUGUCUUCUCUCUCCAGGGCUGACUCCACUAGAAUAAUGUACUUAGUAACUUGCUUGGACAGGUACCAAAAUAGCACAUAGAAUUGAAUUGUUAGGUUUAUGUUGUAACCAAUUAAUGAAACACUGUCCUUAGAUAUCUAGGCUUUGGUAGAGUAAGAGAGUGAAUAUGGUGAAAUUAGAGAGGGUGGAGUAUAAUAUAUUUUGAAGGGAUUGUCAUUGAGGUGAAAAUUGAGUAUUGGGUUUACAGAUACAUUUGAGCUAAAUAUGUUGGUGUAGGUGAACUCUAAAAUAAUCUGUAGCAGUAUGUUCUGAUGAACAUAAUCUCUAGAAAGAAUACUACAGAUCUUCAAGCAUAAGAUAGAACUGUAUGUAUUGACCUGGAAAGCCAUGAUAAAUAUGAGGAAACAAAUCUGAAAGAAUAAAUUCCAAAUUGUUAGCAGUGUUUACUAGGAGGAGAUUUGGGAGCACUCUGCCUAUAGUCUCCAGAAAACCAGCAAACAAGUUCCUGCCAAAAGCUAUAUAAUUUCUCGAAGUUUAAUUAGGUUUUAAUUAAAUAUACUUAAAUCUUUGUAAUCAUUUCUCUACCUGAAGAAUUACUGUAUCACUUCUCAGCCUUUUGGCUAAGAUCAAGUGUAGUAUCUGUUUUUUCAGUUUAAUAUCUGAUAUGUCCUAAAUUAAAAAUAAUAAAAAAUAAAUAAAGGGGAGAUAAGAGAAACCAGAGACUCCAUGGCCAUGUGAAAUAAAGCAUAGUACCUAUGCCAGAAAAGAGUGUGGUGCAGGCUGGGCAUGGUGGCUCAUGCCUGUAAUCCCAGCACUUUGGGAAGCUGAGGCUGGCGGAUCAUGAGGUCAGGAGAUUGAGACCAUCCUGGCCAACAUGGUGAAACCCCGUCUGUACUAAAAUACAAAAAAUUAGCUGGGCGUUGUGGCACGCUCCUGUAGUCCCAGCUACUCGGGAGGCUGAGGUAGGGGAAUUGCUUGAACCCGGGAGGCAGAGGUUGCAGUGAGCCAAGAUUGGGCCACUGCACUCCAGUCUGGUGACAGAAUGGGACUCCAUCUCAAAAACAAAACAAAACAAAAACAACAACAGAAUGUGGUGCAUUAUGUUUAAGAAUCUGACUCAGACCAGGCACGGUGGCUCAUGCCUAUAAUCCCAGCACUUUGGGAGGCCGAGGCGGGGGGAUCACCUGAGCUCAGAAGUUUGAGACCAGCCUGGCCAACGUGGUAAAACUCCGUCUCUAUUAAAAAUACAGAAGAUUAGCCAGUCAUGGUGGUACACACCUGUAAUCCCAGCUACUCAGGAGGCUGAGACAGGAGAAUCAUUUCAAGCCAGGAGGUAGAGGUUGCAGCGAGCAGAGAUCGUGCCACUUCACUCCAGCCUGGGCAAUGAGCAAAACUCUGUCUCAAGAAGAAAGAAUCUGACUCGAUAUGUCCUUAUUCAUACCUUUCACCAAAUUAAAUUACAGGUUCAUUAGAGAUUUCAUGUAAAAUAUGAAACCAUAAAGUAUUAGAGGAAGACAUAGAGAAUAUUUUUGGGUUUUAUUUGUUUUAAUAAUCUUCAGGAGAGGAAGGCCUUUUGAAGUAUGACACAAUCCUGGAAGUCCCAAAAGAAAAGUUAUAUAAAUUUGGCUAGGCACAAUGACUCACACCUGUAAUUCCAGCACUUUGGGAGGCCGAGGCGGGUGGAUCACCUGAGGUUAGGAGUUCCACACCAGCCUGGCCAACAUGGUGAAACCCUGUCUCUACUAAAAAUACAAAAAAAUUAGCUGAGCAUGAUGGUGGGCGCCUGUAAUCCCAGCUACUCGGGAGGCUGAGGCAGGAGAAUCGCUUGAACCCAGGAGGUGGAGGUUGCAGUGUGCUGAGAUCAUGCCAUUGCACAACAGCCUGGGUGACAAGAGCGAGGGAAACUCUGUCUCAAAGAAAAAAAAAAAAGAUAUAUAAAUUUGACUGCAGAAAUAUAUUUUUACAUGGAGGAAAAAAAAAUCCCCAUAAGCAAAGUCAAAAGACAAGUGACACACCAGGGAAAAAUAUUGGUAACUCAUCAAAACUGAAGACUGGUUUUACUGAUAUAAAAGUGCACCAGAGGCCAGGUGCAGUGGCUCACGCCUGUAAUCCCAGCGCUUUGGGAGGCCGAGGCAGGCGGAUCACCUGAAGUCGGGAGUUUGAGACCAUCCUGGCUAACAUGGUGAAACCCCGUCUCUACUAAAAAUAGAAAAAAUUAGCCAGGCAUGGUGGUAUGCGCCUGUAAUCCCAGCUACUCAGGAGGCUGAGGCAGAAGAAUCGCUUGAUCCCGGGAGGCAGAGGUUGUAGUGAGCCGAGAUCGCGCCACUGCACUCCAGCCUGGGCGACAAAGCAAGACUGCCUCUCAAAAAAAAGUGCACCAGGCCAGGCAUGGUGGCUCACGCCUGUAAUCCCAGCACUUUGGGAGGCUGAGGCAGGUGGAUCACCUGAGGUCAGGAGUUCGAGACCAGCCUGGUCAACAUGGUAAAACCCUGUCUCUACUAAAAAUACAAAAAAUUAGCCAGGCAUGGUGGCAGGCACCUGUAGUCCCAGCUACUUGGGAGGCUGAGGCACGAGAAUCACUUGAACCCGGGAGGCGGAGGUUAGUGAGCCGAGAUUGCACCAUUGCACUCCAACCUGAGCAACAAGAGUGAAACUCCAUCUUAAAAAAUAAUAAUAAAUAAAAAUAAAGCAUGUCCCCACGAUGAAACCUUCUGAAGGCCAGGUGUGGUGGCUCACGCCUGUAAUCCAAGCACUUUGGGAGGCCAAGGUGGGCAGAUCACCUAAGGUCAGGAGUUCCAGACCAGCCUGGCCAGCAUGGUGAAACCUGUCUCUACUAAAAACAGAAAAAAUUAGCCAGGCGUGGUGGCGGGCACCUGUAAUCCCAGCUACUCGGGAAGCUGAGGCAGGAGAAUCGCUUGAACCUGGGAGGCGGAGGUUGCAGUGAGCCGAGAUCGCGCCAUUGCACUCCAGCCUGGGCAACAGAGCAAGACUCCGUCUCAAAAAUAAAUAAAUAAAUAAAAUAAAAGUGCACCUAACAAAUGAGUAAGAAAAAUACCAACAAUUUAGGGGAAAUACAGGCAGGCUACAGACAGACAGGAACGGAGUUUUAAGCAUAGGAAAAGAUACUCAUCCUCACUCAUAGUAAAACAAUUUAAAAUAAAAUCUACACUGAGAUACAACUUUUUACCUAUCAAGUAGUCACAGAUCGAAAGGUUUGUUAGCACAGUGGAGAAGAGAGUAAAGAAACUGGCAUGCUCAUAGUUUGUUAUUGGAAGUGAAAUUGGAGAAAUCUCUAUGGAGAUUAGGUACUUAGCCAUAGCUACCAAAGUUACGGUUGCAGUUACCAUUUUAUCUUGCAGUUCCACUCCUAAGAAUUUAUCCUACAGAUAGUCUCAGACAAGUGUGAAAUAAUGUAUUGCAAAGUUGUUUGAUGCAAAAUUAGAAUUAACCUGAAUAUCAAGCAACAGGUGGUUAAAAUUGUCUGGCAGAUCCAUAAGAUAUUUUUCUAUAUAGCUGUAAAAAGGACUGAAAUCGCAUUUUGUGUACUGAAGGGAAAUAAUCUCCAGUAUACAUUAUUAAGUGAAAAAAGACAAAGUGUAUAUUAAGUGAAAAAAGACAGUGUGUACAGUAUUCUGCCUUUUAUGUAAAAACAUAAUGGAGAACACACUGUACACAAAAAAUAACAUGGAUCAAAGACCUAAAUGUAAGAGCUAAAACAUAAAAUCCUUAGAAGAAAACACACUUUGUGCACGACGAUUAAAGAAAAUUGAGAAGUUGGGCUUAAUCAAAAUAAAAAAUGUUUGUGUUUCAAAGGCCAUAUUUAAAAAGUCAAAAGAAAAUCUGUAGACUGGGCCGGGCGUGGUGGCUCACGCCUGUAAUCCCAGCACUUUGGGAGGCCGAGGCGGGCGGAUCACGAGGUCAGGAGAUCGAGACCAUCAUGGCUAAGAUGGUGAAACCCCGUCUCUACUAAAAAUACAAAAAAAGUUAGCCGGGCAAGGUGGUGGGCGCCUGUAGUCCCAGCUACUCGGAAGGCUGAGGCAGGAGAAUGGCGUGAACCUGGGAGGCGGAGCUUGCAGUGAGCCGAGAUAGUGCCACUGCACUCCAGCCUGGGCGAUAGAGCGAGACUCCUCAAAAAAAAAAAAAAAAGAAAAAGAAAAUCUAUAGACUUGCCGGGCACAGUGGCUCACGCCUGUAAUCCCAGCACUUUGGGAGGCCAAAGUGGGUGGAUCACCCGAGGUCAGGAGUUAGAGACCAGCCUGGCCAACAUGGCAAAACCCCGUCUCUACUAAAAAUACAAAAUUAGCCAGGCGCGGCGGUGAGCGCCUGUAAUCCCAGCUACUUGGGAGACUGAGGCAGGAGAAUCGCUUGAACCUGGGAGGUGGAGAUUGCAGUGAGCCGAGAUUGUGCCAUUGCACUCCAGCCUGGGCAACAAGUGAAACUCCGUCUCAAAAAAAAAGAAAAAAAAAAAUCUAUAGACUGGAAGAAAAUAUUUGCAAAUCAUAUAUCUGAUAAGGGACUUGUGUCCAGAUAUAUAAAGAACUCAUAUUACAAUUCAACAAUAAAAAGGCAACCCAAUUAAAAAAUGGGCAAAGGAUUUGAAUGGACGUUUCUCCAAACGAGGCAUAUGAAUGGCUGAUAAGCAUGCAAAAAGAUGCUCAACAUUAGUUGUUAGGGAAAUGCAAAUCAAAACCAUGAUGUGAUACACUUCACAUUCAUUAGAAUGGCUAGAAUAAAGAAGGCAAACCGUAACAAAUGUUGACAAGGAUGUGGAAAAGGUGGAGCCCUCAUAUGUUGCUGGUGGGAAUGUAAAAUAAUGCAGUUGCUUUGGAGAAGUUUGAUAGUUUCUCAAAAUGUUAAACAUAGAAUUGCCAUAUGGUCUAGAAAUUCUCUUAAGUAUCUACCUCAAAGAAAAGAAAACAUAUGUUCACACUCUCCUGCAAAUGUUCAUGUCAGCAUUAUUUAAUAGUCAAAAAGUAGAAAUGACCCAAAAUGUCUGUCAGUUGAUGGAUUGAUAAAGUAUGGUAUGUCAUUCUGUAUAUGACAUGUCCAGUAUAGCCAAAUCUAUAUAAACAGAAACUAGAGCAGUAGUUGCUUGUGGCUUGGAGUGAGAAUGGGUUGGGAGGAAUGAGGAGUGACUGCCGAUGGGUACUUUCGGGGACAAUACAAAUGUUCCAAAGUUAGUUUACAAUGAUGAUUGUACAGUUGUGUAAACGUAUUAGAAACCGUUGUAAAGUUUAAAUGGGUGGAUUUUAUGAUAUGUAAAUUAUAUCUCAAGCUUUUUAAGAAAAAUUGUGUGUGCAUAUACAUUUGCUUUUAUAUACACAGAAUGUUCCCUCUGUGGUUAGAAAUUGGGUGGCCUGGAAUAGGAAUAUAAGGAAGACUACACCAUAUCCUUUUUUUUUUUCCUUUUUCUACAUGUUCUAAACCAUAUCCUUUUCUACUUUUUGGAUUUUGAAUCUUGUAUAUUACUGAUUCAGAAGACAAAUAACUGUCUGUGGCCCUAAAUGCUGACUGUUCUUCUCUCCCUCACCUCAUCCCCACAAUUGCAGGAUUGCAUAUAUUGAAUUCAAGUCACAAGCUGAGACAGAGAGAGCCUUGGAAGAAAAGCAGGGAACAGAGAUUGAUGGGCUUGCCGUAGUUCUCGACCAUAUUGGAGAGAAAAGCCAGGGCCAAGAAACUAGAGAUAGAAAGAACAGCACCUGGAGAGGUGAGGGGUCCCAGAGCUCUGAGGAUUGAGAUUUACCAGGGUUGUCACAGGUGGAUCCCAAGGGAUCCUCUGGUAUGAGGUUAGGGGCACUCGGCACUUUAUUUUUUUAUUAUUAUUUUGAGACAGGGUCUCACUCCCUUCGCCCAGGCAGGAGCGCAGUGGCACAAUCAUGGCUCGCGGCAGUCUCGAUUUCCUGGGCUCAGGUGAUCCUCCUACCUCAGCCUCCCGAGUAGCCAGACUACAGAUGGGAAGGCCACUCAGCACUUUAUUUUUUAUUUUAUUUUAUUUUAUUUUUAUUUAUUUAUUUUUUUAGAGGGAGUCUCUCUCUGUCGCCCAGGCUGGAGUGCAGUGGCACAGUCUCGGCUCACUGCAACCUCUGCCUCCCAGGUUCAAGCGAUUCUCCUGCCUCAGCUUCCCGAGUAGCUGGGAUUACAGGUGCCCGCCACCACACCUGGCCGAGAUCACACCACUGCACUCCAGCCUGGGUAACAGAGCCAGACCUCUUGUCUCAAAACAAAAAAAAGGAAACCCAUCAGUUUAUUUUUUCUUUUUUGGGCACCCUCUAGGAUUUUGUUUGAACAAGCUCUUAUAUCUGUGGUUUCAGAAUUAGAUAUUUAAUUCUCUUCAGAUAUUAAUUUUCUUCAAGUAGUGUUUUUGCAGGUUUAAACAAGUGACCCCAAACCAGUGUCCCUAAUUUGCCUUAUCUGAUUGGCAAACAUGUUGGCUUAUUCUGUAAGAGACCAUUGAAUUUGUUAUGAGUAUUUCAAAAAAUUUCACAUAAACCCCUGGAUUUCCAGCUUCUUUUGAUACAACAGAAAAUCUGCCCAGGUGCAGUGGUUCACACUUGUAAUCCCAGCACUUUGGGAGGCUGAGGUGGGUGGAUCGCUUGAGCCCUGGAGUUCAAGACCAGCGGGGCAACAUGGAGAGACCCCAUCUGUAAAAAAAAAAAAAAAAAAAAAAAAAUUAGCUGGGCGUGGUGUUGCAUACCUGUAGUCCUAGCUAACUCAGGAGACUGAGGUAGGAGGAUUGCCUGAGCCUGGGAGGUCGAGGCUACAGUGAGCCAUGAUGGUGCCACUGCACUCCAGCCGAGGGGACAGAGUGAGACCCUGUCUGUCUCAAAGAAAAAGGAAAGAAAAUGCAGCCAUGGUGGCACCGUGGCUGCAUUCCCACAUGGCAGCAGUUGGCUGGCGAUGAGAAGUAGCUGCUUCCUUUUAGGUGUGGCCUUUGCUCUUGUUUGCUGGUAACCCCCACAGUUCCUGAGGGUCUCCCCACCAACAGCGGUGGGAACAGCACAACACUUGCACUUUUAAACAUAGAGUUAGUACUUUUUUCUUAGAAAAUAGCCCUUUUUUUUAUAGUAAAGAUGACAUGGCUGGGCAUGGUGGCUCAUGCCUGUAAUCCCAACACUGGGAGGCUGAGGAGGGCAGAUGAUGAGGUCAGGAGUUCGAAACCAGCCUGGCCGGCAUGGUGAAACCCCGUCUCUAACAAAAAUUAGCCGGGUAUGAUGGCACAUACCUGUAAUCCCAGCUACUCAGGAGGCUGAGGCAGGAGAAUUCCUUGAACUCGGGAGGUGGAGGUUGCAGUGAGCCAAGAUCGCACCACUGCACUCCAGCCCGGGCGACAGAGCGAAACUCUGUCUUGGGGAAAAAAAAAAAAAAGGAUGACAUUUUAAUAUUUCUUAUGCAUUUGUCUCUUCCACAAGUGGAAAGACAAAGUAUAGAACAAGACAUCCACACUUUUCAAGAAAAAUGGGAGAGAGCCUAUUUUUUUUUGUGGAAGUAAAGAAUGUUCCUACAUGUUGAAUAUGCAAAGUCUGUCUGUGUUGAAAGAGCAUACCCUAAGACACUAUUAUGAAACAAACCAUAGCAAGAACCACGAUGGAUAUACAGAAAAGAUGCGUGACAAAAAACUUAACAAACUGAAAAAAAGACUGAGAUUUCAACAUGACUUGCUUUUGAAUGUGAAUAAAAUAGGUGAUGCUGCUAUGGAGUGUAGUUAUAUAUUAAGUGAGAAAAUUGCCCGGGCAUCAAAACCUUUUACAGAUGGGGAGUUUAUAAAAGAAUGCUUGUUGAAUGCAGCAGAAAUUAUGUGCCCUGAACAGAGACAAGCAUUUGCAAAUAUAAGACUAACUGGUAACAUUAUUGCUCAGCAUGUUGAUGAUAUGGCUGAAAACUUACAGGACAGGUUUCAAGAAAAAGUGAAAUCAUUUGUGGCUUUCUCUAUCGCAGCUCAUGGGAACACUGAUAUAAAUAAUGCUCCCCAGUUGGCUGUGUUCAUUCGUGGUGUUGAUGAAACUUUUGAUGUGACCGAAGAACUUUUAGAUAUGGUACCCAUAACAGGCACAGCAUCAGGAAAUGACAUAUUUUUAUGUGUUGAGAAAAGUCUUAAAAAAUUUAAUGUAGACUGGUCAAAAUUAGUAAGUGUUAGCACAGAUGGUAAUUCUGCAAUGGUUGGUGUUAAACAACUUGUUACAAAACUAAAUCUAAGGUGGCAGGGCUUUGCAAAGGCACAGAACUUAAGUGUGUGCAUGGCCUCAUUCUCCAGGAAUCACUUUGUGCUAAAAAGUUAAAAAUGGAUCACGUCAUGGACAUAGUAAUUUACAGCAUAACCUGGAUACAUUCCCAUGGCUCAAACCACAGAAAGUUCAACACUUUGUUCAGUGAGUUAGAUGCACAAUAUGGAAGCCUGUUCUGUGACAUGGAAGUGAAGUGGCUGAGUCGUGGUAUGGUGCUAAAGUAGUUUUUUGAACUGUUGGAAGAAAUUGACUUUUUCAUGUCCUCUAAAGGAAAAUCUGUGCCUCAGCUCACUAGCAAAAAUUGGGUCAAAGACUUAGCCUUUUUGAUUAACAUUACAACACAUCUAAAUACAUUGGAUAUUUCUCUGCAAAGACAUUCACAAGUGGUUACACAAAUGUAUGAUUCAAUUCACUAAUUCCUAGCAAAAUUGUGUCUUUGGGAAACUCAUUUGACAAGGAACAAUCUGGCCCACUUCCCUACACUGAAAUUAGUUUCUGAAAAUGAAAGCGAUGGCCUGAACUAUAUUCCAAAAAUUAAAGAAUUGAAGACUGAAUUCCAAAAAAGAUUAUCUGAUUGCAAACUUUAUGAAAAUGAACUGAUAUUGUUCAGUUCACCUUUCUUGAUGAAUAUUAAUCAUGUGAAUGCAGAGCUGCAAAUGGAAGUUAUUGAAUUGCAGUGCAACACUAUACUGAAAACUAAAUAUGAUGAUGUGCGAAUCCCAGAAUUCUACAAAUUCCUAGGUAGUGGUUACCCUAAAUAUAAAAAACAUUGUGCAAAGAUUCUGUGCAUGUUUGGAAAUACCUAUGUUUAUGAGCAGCUAUUUUCUCUUAUGAAACUAAGUAAAACUAAAUAUUGCUCCCAGUUAAAGGAAAGGUGAAUUCUCUGCUGCACGUUGCUAUGCAAGAUUCACAACCUGAUGCUGAUUGAUAUCUUGGGCCCUAAGAAAGGAAUGUUAGAUUUCGGAUUUCAAAUCUGAGAAGUAAUAAAUUACGAAACUUGGGAUAAUUAUUUCUAUUUUCAAAUUAUAUUUUUUCAAUAUGAAGUUUAGAGUACAAUCUCUGGCAUUAUAUAUGUUUGUUAAAUCUUAUACCAUAUAAAAUAAAGUUGGAUUAUACUUUUGGUGGUUUUUUACACCUCACCUUUCUGGCCUUUUUUCAAGUUUAUAAACCUCUGCCCUAAAAGAAGCCACAUUUUUCUUAAAGGCACUUGUGAGCCUGGGAUGUGAACAAAGGAGUCAGGUGGAUGAACUGAAUGUUUGGACACCUUGUGCGACCCUAUCCCUAAGCACGACAGACCUGCCACAGUCAUCUUGGGGUUCAGGCCAGGGUAACUAACCUCCUUCCCUGUACAGGCUGGGUGUCAGAGCCAUUGGACUUUUUUGUGGUGCUUCCAUUUGGAUUUACACACUUCUUUCGAAGUUCCAACAUUGUUGGUCAGCUUACAGUUAGUGUGGCUGGCCCAGAAACAUUCUGCCUCUUACAGGCAGGGAUGCUUGUUCCUUUGGCAUUGGGGCACCCAGGGGAGUGCACAAUGGGGUGUCGAUGUGUGAAAGAGCAGAUGAGCAUUUUUCCAGGGAGAAGGCCUGUAGCUGCCAGCAGAGUCUUAGGUCUGUGACUCAAACAGUGUUUUUCCACUGACAUAGCGAGAUGUCUACUCACUACUGUAGAAGCCAUAUCUUAAAAAAUUAGUCUAGCCAGGCGUGGUGGCUCACACCUGUAAUCCCAGCACUUUGGGAGGCCGAGACAGGCAGAUCACCUGAGGUCAGGAGUUUGAGACCAGCCUGGCCAACAUGGUGAAAUCCGGUCUCUACUAAAAAUACGAAAAUCAGCUGGGCGUGGUGGCAGGCACCUGUAGUCCCAGCUACUCAGGAGGCUGAGGCAGGAGAAUCUCUUGAACCCAGGGGGCAGAAGUUGCAGUGAGCUGAGAUCACAC